CACCGCGGUUAUACGAGAGGCCCAAGUUGAUAGACAUCGGCGUAAAGGGUGGUUAAUAGAAAUGACACUAAGGCUAAACAUCUUCAAGACUGUUAUACGUACCCGAAGACAGGAAGACCCCUGACGAAAGUGGCCUUAACCUAUUUGAAUCCACUAAAGCUAGGGAA
rnacentral:rRNA from 1 species